rnacentral:rRNA from 2 species
UGAACCUGCGGAAGGAUCAUUGU